GUGGUGGUUCAGCCCGCUCCGCCCGGCCCCGCCCCCGGGGCGUGUUGGCGGGAGAAUCGGUUUUUGGCGCGCGCCUGAAACAACAGCAAAAAAAAAACAAAAACAAACCAACAACAAAAAAACCCACAAAACCCUAGCCGAAACAAAAGGAAAAAAACCCACAGAUCUCCGCGAUUUAAAUAUGAAGGAUGGCCGGUCACCGACACAGCUCUUCUGCACCUCUUCAGGGUAUUUCAAGGGACGGUUCAAACCCUACGGCAGACGGUUACAUUUAUGUUGUUUAAAAAGACAUGCCGUUAAAUAGUAUUUCAUAUCAAUAGUGAAGGAAGUUGGGUAAUGCCACGAGGUUGCUAUGCCUUGGCAAGCAGAGCUUUCAGGUGUUUUUAACAGCACUUGCAUGCACAGUGAGAUCCUGCUCAUCCUGAGAAUCCCGCACACACUAACAUUUUGCAACAGUAAUUUAUAAACAAUCCGGAGAACUCCUGCAACAGAAUACGCACAGCUUUAAACAGAAAUACCUUUGCAGCCCCUGUGGCCUGAAGGCUGGUGGACACUUCAGAAAGAUGCAGCACACUGAGUUUUCUUCUUCCAGCAUUACAAUCACAGGAUCAUUAAGGCUUGAAAAGACCUUUAAGAUCAUCAAGUCGAUCCAUUAACCCAGCACUGCCAAGGCCACCACCAAACUAUGUCCCCAAGUGCCACAUCUGGUAAAACAGAUGUCAGAAGCAGCAAACAGAAAUUGUCUGAGAUGGGUUUUUUUAUGUGUGGGUUUUUUUUUUUAGUAUCAGUUUAAAACACAAAAGCAACUACUGAAGUGCAGCAAUGCUUUUGGAGAGACUUUCUGAGCACAGCGACAGGGUGGUGUUUGGUUUUGAUUUUUUAAAAAUAAAGAUAUGCUUCAGCCUUGUGAUGCACAAAGGAUGGUGAGAGGAGGAUUUGCAUCUCCAGCGUGGAAAUGAAGCAGAGUUUCACAAACUACAAAUUUCUCAUGUAAUUAUUCACAGAAAUGGAAGAGGCCUGGUACUGUGCCUGGUGUUUCCAGCCAUCACGUACACAGCUACGUGCCUAGUGCUCCUGACUGAAAUCAGUACUGUUUUGAGAACAGUGCAGAUCCUACAUGACAGCACCAGUUUUCCAAGACUUGAUCUGCUGAUCUCAGACUACAUCCCUAUUCUUCAAGUCUUUUUCUGUCACAGGAGAAAUUCCUUCUUCAAUACUUCUAUAUACAAAGAGAGACUAGAUAUUUUCAAAUAUUGAAUUAGCACUUUGGCAAAGUGAAUGCAUAUUAAAUCUUACUCAUGCUCAAAGAGUUUAAAUUAAAAAUCAAUAAAAUCAAAAGAAAAAUGCUAUCA
rnacentral:lncRNA from 1 species